rnacentral:rRNA from 1 species
UGGGGAAUAUUGCACAAUGGGGGAAACCCUGAUGCAGCGACGCCGCGUGAACGAAGAAGAUAUUCGUAUCGUAAAGUUCUGUCCUAUGGGAAGAUAAUGACAGUACCAUAGAAGAAAGCUCCGGCUAAAUACGUGCCAGCAGCCGCGGUAAUACGUAUGGAGCGAGCGUUGUCCGGAAUUAUUGGGCGUAAAGGGUACGCAGGCGGUUUAAUAAGUCGAAUGUUAAAGAUCGGGGCUCAACCCCGCAAAGCAUUGGAAACUGAUAAACUUGAGUAGUGGAGAGGAAAGUGGAAUUCCUAGUGUAGUGGUGAAAUACGUAGAUAUUAGGAGGAAUACCAGUAGCGAAGGCGACUUUCUGGACACAAACUGACGCUGAGGUACGAAAGCGUGGGGAGCAAACAGG